CUGGCUCAGGAUGAACGCUAGCGACAGGCUUAACACAUGCAAGUCGAGGGGCAGCAUGGGCGUGGCAACACGCCUGAUGGCGACCGGCGCACUGGUGAGUAACACGUAUGCGACCUGCCUCCUUCAGGGGGAUAACCCAGAGAAAUUUGGCCUAAUACCCCAUAGUCCGCGCGGCUGCAUGGCCGUGCGGGGAAAGCCUCGGCGGAAGGAGAUGGGCAUGCGGCGCAUUAGCUAGUUGGCGGGGCAACGGCCCACCAAGGCUACGAUGCGUAGGGGUUCUGAGAGGAAGGUCCCCCACACUGGUACUGAGACACGGACCAGACUCCUACGGGAGGCAGCAGUGAGGAAUAUUGGUCAAUGGGCGGAGGCCUGAACCAGCCAAGUCGCCGUGGGGGACGACGGCCCUACGGGUUGUAAACCCCUUUAGCCGGGGAGUAACAAGCGCCACGCGUGGCGCCAUGAGAGUACCCGGAGAAUAAGCAUCGGCUAACUCCGUGCCAGCAGCAGC
rnacentral:rRNA from 1 species